rnacentral:rRNA from 1 species
GCUUGCACUGCUGGAGACUGGCGAACGGGUGAGUAACGCGUAGACAACCUGCCUUUAGCUGGGGGAUAACACUGCGAAAGUGGUGCUAAUACCGCGUAAUGCAGCGGGGCCGCAUGGCCACAGUUGUUAAAGCCUUCGGGCGGCUAAAGAUGGGUCUGCGUGCUAUUAGCUAGUUGGUGCGGUAACGGCGCACCAAGGCGAUGAUAGCUAGGGGGUCUGAGAGGAUGAUCCCCCACACUGGGACUGAGACACGGCCCAGACCUCUACGGAGGGCAGCAGUGAGGAAUCUUGCGCAAUGGGCGAAAGCCUGACGCAGCCACGCCGCGUGUCGGAAGACGGCCCUAUGGGUUGUAAACGACUUUUGUCAGGGAAGAACGGGGAGGUUUUGAUCUCCUGUGACGGUACCUGGUGAAUAAGCACCGGCUAACUCCGUGCCAGCAGCCGCGGUAAUACGGAGGGUGCAAGCGUUAAUCGGAAUUACUGGGCGUAAAGCGCGCGUAGGUGGUUUGUUAAGUCGGAUGUGAAAGCCCAGGGCUCAACCUUGGAACUGCAUUCGAUACUGGCAGGCUAGAGUAUGGUAGAGGGAGGUAGAAUUCCACGUGUAGCGGUGAAAUGCGUAGAGAUGUGGAGGAAUACCAGUGGC